rnacentral:rRNA from 1 species
AUGCCAUCGGUUCAAAGGCUCACUAUUCAUAUGCGUGGCAUGAAUACUGUCUACUAUCAUGCUGGUGCUGACCUCACGAAAGUUGUUGAUUCUGACUUAUUGCAAAAUACUAUGCUUACCGAAUGGUUUGUUGCAAAUCAGAUGUUCGAAGAAGCCCGAUCAUUGACGUACUGUGAUUUUCCAAUUUCUUGGACAUGGGAUGUUAAAAGUAGGUCAUGGCAUCCAAGGGGUGGAGGUGAAAAGAUUGGCCGCGUAUAUUAUGUGCAUUUUUUGAGUGGUGAAUUGUAUUAUUUAUGCAUGCUUUUGAUGAUUGUUAAGGGGGCUAGGUCUUUCGAAGAUCUUCGAAUAUAUGCUGCUCGUCUUUAUCACACCUUUAAAGAGGCUUGCUCUGUGCGUGGUUUGUUAGGAGAUGAUAGUGAGUGGUACACAACAUUUGAUGAAGCGGUUGUCUGGGGGUUUGGGCAUCGGCUUAGGCAGCUGUUUGUGACUAUGCUCAUGCAUUGUUCUAUCAGGGAUGAACUGGGUUUCUUUGAACGUUACUGUGUUGGCAUGUACAAUGAUAUUCAGUAUAGGUUGCGUCACGCCCUGAGUAAUCGAAAUUAUGUUGUUCCUCCUGAGAGACUGAGAGAUGAUUCUGGAUGA